GCACUCGUAGCUCAGAUGGAUAGAGCGUCCCCCUCCUAAGGGGAAGGCCGGGGGUUCGACUCCCUUCGGGUGCACCA
rnacentral:tRNA from 1 species